UAAGAGUCGAUCUCGAACACCUUUGAGUCAGAUCCAUCAUUCUAGAAGGUGGGAUAAAGGGGCUCUUAAAAACUCACUGAAUCUUUUUUUUCAUACUAUUUACGUUUGUCAAAAUUUUGUAGCUCAAGCUAUCGUUCCCCCUAAAAGGGCCAAAAAAGAAGAAAUUUGAACUAGGUGGAGAAAGUGAAGAGUCUUGCCCAGUACUUGGCCAAGAAAAAGAGACAAAACAACUACAAUU
rnacentral:lncRNA from 1 species